rnacentral:rRNA from 1 species
UACGUAGGGUGCAAGCGUUAAUCGGAAUUACUGGGCGUAAAGCGUGCGCAGGCGGUUUUGUAAGUCAGACGUGAAAUCCCUCGGCUUAACCGGGGAACUGCGUCUGAUACUGGAUGGCUAGAGGUUGGGAGAGGGAUGCGGAAUUCCAGGUGUAGCGGUGAAAUGCGUAGAUAUCUGGAGGAACACCGGUGGCGAAGGCGGCAUCCUGGACCAAUUCUGACGCUGAGGAGCGAAAGCCAGGGGAGCAAACGGG